rnacentral:rRNA from 1 species
UACUGAGGGGACUAGCGUUGUUCGGAAUUACUGGGCGUAAAGCGCACGUAGGCGGAUUUGUAAGUCAGGGGUGAAAUCCCGGGGCUCAACCUCGGAACUGCCUUUGAUACUGCAAAUCUCGAGUCCGGAAGAGGUGAGUGGAAUUCCUAGUGUAGAGGUGAAAUUCGUAGAUAUUAGGAAGAACACCAGUGGCGAAGGCGGCUCACUGGUCCGGUACUGACGCUGAGGUGCGAAAGCGUGGGGAGCAAACAGG